rnacentral:rRNA from 1 species
UGCAGUCGAGCGCGGGAGCGAGCUGAUCCCUUCGGGGUGACGCUCGUGGAACGAGCGGCGGACGGGUGAGUAACACGUGGGCAACCUGCCUGUAAGAUCGGGAUAACUCCGGGAAACCGGGGCUAAUACCGGGUAAUACUUUCUUUCGCAUGAAGGAAAGUUGAAAGAUGGCUUCUCGCUAUCACUUACAGAUGGGCCCGCGGCGCAUUAGCUAGUUGGUGAGGUAACGGCUCACCAAGGCGACGAUGCGUAGCCGACCUGAGAGGGUGAUCGGCCACACUGGGACUGAGACACGGCCCAGACUCCUACGGGAGGCAGCAGUAGGGAAUCUUCCGCAAUGGACGAAAGUCUGACGGAGCAACGCCGCGUGAACGAUGAAGGUCUUCGGAUCGUAAAGUUCUGUUGUUAGGGAAGAACAAGUACCGUGCGAAUAGAGCGGUACCUUGACGGUACCUAACGAGGAAGCCCCGGCUAACUACGUGCCAGCAGCCGCGGUAAUACGUAGGGGGCAAGCGUUGUCCGGAAUUAUUGGGCGUAAAGCGCGCGCAGGCGGUUCCUUAAGUCUGAUGUGAAAGCCCACGGCUCAACCGUGGAGGGUCAUUGGAAACUGGGGAACUUGAGGACAGAAGAGGAGAGUGGAAUUCCACGUGUAGCGGUGAAAUGCGUAGAUAUGUGGAGGAACACCAGUGGCGAAGGCGACUCUCUGGUCUGUUUCUGACGCUGAGGUGCGAAAGCGUGGGUAGCAAACAGGAUUAGAUACCCUGGUAGUCCACGCCGUAAACGAUGAGUGCUAGGUGUUAGGGGGCUUCCACCCCUUAGUGCUGAAGUUAACGCAUUAAGCACUCCGCCUGGGGAGUACGGCCGCAAGGCUGAACUCAAGGAAUUGACGGGGGCCCGCACAAGCGGUGGA